UACACGCAUGAAUGUAAGUCGAUUUAGAUAAAAGCGUCUGCUAAAUGGCAUAAA
rfam:Salmo salar isolate Sally breed double haploid chromosome ssa05, whole genome shotgun sequence.